CCUACGGGAGGCAGCAGUGGGGAAUAUUGGACAAUGGGCGAAAGCCUGAUCCAGCAAUGCCGCGUGUGUGAAGAAGGUCUUCGGGUUGUAAAGCACUUUUGGCAGGAAAGAAACGUCAUGGGUUAAUACCCCGUGAAACUGACGGUACCUGCAGAAUAAGCACCGGCUAACUACGUGCCAGCAGCCGCGGUAAUACGUAGGGUGCAAGCGUUAAUCGGAAUUACUGGGCGUAAAGCGUGCGCAGGCGGUUCGGAAAGAAAGAUGUGAAAUCCCAGAGCUUAACUUUGGAACUGCAUUUUUAACUACCGGGCUAGAGUGUGUCAGAGGGAGGUGGAAUUCCGCGUGUAGCAGUGAAAUGCGUAGAUAUGCGGAGGAACACCGAUGGCGAAGGCAGCCUCCUGGGAUAACACUGACGCUCAUGCACGAAAGCGUGGGGAGCAAACAGGAUUAGAUACCCGAGUAGUC
rnacentral:rRNA from 1 species